AAGAUUAAUGAGUUCAAGACUCGUCAUCUCUCUGAGCUUACUAAGCUCUGUGAAGCCAGUGGAAGUUCUCUUGGUUAUGGAUUUUCAUGAAUCAUGAAUAAGCCCAAGUCUCAGGGAUUCCUCAGAUGACAACAAAGUCACUGAAGGAACACUGGCAAUAUGAACAAGUAUUCCCAUAGAAUUCAGGCAGAGAAAAUUGAAAUCCUUGAAAAUUGUAUUGUGGGUUAUUUCUCACCAUUUGUUCAUUAUUCACAUCUCAAUUAAUUUUUUUAUCAACCUUUCCUUGGGAAUUUUCUGUUGCCUUUCGUUUU